UGAGUACGAGAUGCUACGGCAUCGAAGCAGUCUAUGUCAUACUUCCAAGAAAAGCUUGCAAUGUCAUAAACAAAUAAUGCCUGUACCAUAACCGACACAGGUGGGUAGGUAGAGUAUACUAAGGGGCGCGAGAUAACUCUCUCUAAGGAACUCGGCAAAAUGACUCCGUAACUUCGGGAGAAGGAGUGCCUUAUUUUUAUAAGGUUGCAAUAACAAGAUCCAAGCAACUGUUUACCAAAAACACAGGUCUCCGCUAAGUCGUAAGACGAUGUAUGGGGGCUGACGCCUGCCCAGUGCCAGAAGGUUAAAGAAGUUGGUUAGCAUUAGCGAAGCUGAUAACUGAAGCCCUGGUGAACGGCGGCCGUAACGAUAACGGUCCUAAGGUAGCGAAAUUCCUUGUCGGGUAAGUUCCGACCCGCACGAAAGGCGUAAUGAUUUGGAUACUGUCUCGGAGAGGGGCUCGGUGAAAUAGACUUGUCUGUGAAGAUGCGGACUACCUGCACCUGGACAGAAAGACCCUAUGAAGCUUUACUGUAACUUGAGAUUGAAAUUGGACUUUAUCUGCGCAGUAUAGGUGGGAGACGUUGAAAAUAUUCUUGCGGGAAUAUUGGAGUCAUCAGUGAGAUACCACUCUUAUAAUGUUAGAUUUCUAACUUUGUAUCAUUAUCUGGUCAAAGAACAGUUUCAGGCGGGCAGUUUGACUGGGGCGGUCGCCUCCCAAACGGUAACGGAGGCGCACAAAGGUUUCCUCUGAACGUGUAGAAAUCGUAUCUAGAGUGUAAAGGCAUAAGGAAGCUUGACUGUGAGACCUACAAGUCGAGCAGGGACGAAAGUCGGUCUUAGUGAUCUGACGGUGCUGAGUGGAAAGGCCGUCACUCAACGGAUAAAAGUUACUCUAGGAUAACAGGCUGAUCUCCCCCAAGAGUUCACAUCGACGGGGAGGUUUGGCACCUCGAUGUCGGCUCAUCGCAUCCUGGGGCGGUAGUACGUCCCAAGGGUUGGGCUGUUCGCCCAUGAAAGCGGUACGCGAGCUGGGUUCAGAACGUCGUGAGACAGUUCGGUCUAUAUCCGGUGUAGGCGUUAGAAUAUUGAGAGGAGCCUUCUUUAGUACGAGAGGACCGAGAAGGACAUACCUCUGGUGUACCAGUUAUCGUGCCAACGGUAAACGCUGGGUAGCCAUGUAUGGAGAGGAUAACCGCUGAAAGCAUCUAAGUGGGAAGCCCACCUCAAGAUAAG
rnacentral:rRNA from 1 species